AGGACAUCCCACUGCAGCAGGUGGAAGAGACCGAGGCCAUAUGGAUAAACUCUUCAGAGACUGUAGUUACUCCAGAAAAAAAGAGAGAAAGUCAUGCAGUUGUGGAACAACAUGUAGGGUAUUUUGAUUUGAGAUUCAGCACUUUGGACGAAGAUGAACCGGAAUUUCUACUUAUGCUUUCGAUCGGAAGGAAAUCGAGCCAGCGAGCGAAUCAAUAAAAGCAGAGUGGAGGAGGAAAGUUCACAUCAGCUUCUUUUUCCUGCAAACUCAUUAGAAAGGAAGAGAGCAGAAGAAACUGCAGGACUGAUGCUUCAUAUUAUAGUCUGCACCAUGAGGAGCAAUCUAAAUUGCAUAAAUAAUGAUUUUUGGAAGGGUUUCCAAAGAGUAUCCCCAAAUUAUGGUUAGACCAAAACUUAAGAUAUAAGUUAAAUGCUAAAUGCUUUACACGUUUUAACACACUUCCCGGAUUUUCUGCUUUCUCAAGAUUUGCUGGAAAUAAUGAGUUUUAAUUGUGAUUGUAAUUUUAUUGUA